UAACUCAAAGGAUUGUACCACGUG
rnacentral:siRNA from 1 species